GGUGUGCUAUCUUAGCCCUUAUUUGGUCCGUAUGAAGCCUUCUGAUAUACUGAAAAAAAUGGAAGUAGUGAAAGCAGACCAGACAGUGGAUUCCGUAGUGUCAGACUCCUAUACACGCCUUGAUCAAGAGGUAUAUUACCUGACCUAUAAUCUUUUGCUGCUGGCUGGAGAAGCUGUGCACUUCCAAGUGUUUCCAUCUAGUCAGA